rnacentral:tRNA from 1 species
GGGCCCAUGGCUCAGGAGUAGAGCGUCCGCUUUGCAAGCGGAAGGCCGCGGGUGCGAAUCCCGCUGGGUCCACUA